rnacentral:rRNA from 1 species
UGCAGUCGAGCGGUAACACAGAGAGCUUGCUCUCGGGUGACGAGCGGCGGACGGGUGAGUAAUGUCUGGGAAACUGCCUGAUGGAGGGGGAUAACUACUGGAAACGGUAGCUAAUACCGCAUAACGUCGCAAGACCAAAGAGGGGGACCUUCGGGCCUCUUGCCAUCAGAUGUGCCCAGAUGGGAUUAGCUAGUAGGUGGGGUAACGGCUCACCUAGGCGACGAUCCCUAGCUGGUCUGAGAGGAUGACCAGCCACACUGGAACUGAGACACGGUCCAGACUCCUACGGGAGGCAGCAGUGGGGAAUAUUGCACAAUGGGCGCAAGCCUGAUGCAGCCAUGCCGCGUGUAUGAAGAAGGCCUUCGGGUUGUAAAGUACUUUCAGCGGGGAGGAAGGCGUUGUGGUUAAUAACCACAGCGAUUGACGUUACCCGCAGAAGAAGCACCGGCUAACUCCGUGCCAGCAGCCGCGGUAAUACGGAGGGUGCAAGCGUUAAUCGGAAUUACUGGGCGUAAAGCGCACGCAGGCGGUCUGUCAAGUCGGAUGUGAAAUCCCCGGGCUCAACCUGGGAACUGCAUUCGAAACUGGCAGGCUAGAGUCUUGUAGAGGGGGGUAGAAUUCCAGGUGUAGCGGUGAAAUGCGUAGAGAUCUGGAGGAAUACCGGUGGCGAAGGCGGCCCCCUGGACAAAGACUGACGCUCAGGUGCGAAAGCGUGGGGAGCAAACAGGAUUAGAUACCCUGGUAGUCCACGCCGUAAACGAUGUCGACUUGGAGGUUGUGCCCUUGAGGCGUGGCUUCCGGAGCUAACGCGUUAAGUCGACCGCCUGGGGAGUACGGCCGCAAGGUUAAAACUCAAAUGAAUUGACGGGGGCCCGCACAAGCGGUGGAGCAUGUGGUUUAAUUCGAUGCAACGCGAAGAACCUUACCUACUCUUGACAUCCAGAGAACUUUCCAGAGAUGGAUUGGUGCCUUCGGGAACUCUGAGACAGGUGCUGCAUGGCUGUCGUCAGCUCGUGUUGUGAAAUGUUGGGUUAAGUCCCGCAACGAGCGCAACCCUUAUCCUUUGUUGCCAGCGGUUAGGCCGGGAACUCAAAGGAGACUGCCAGUGAUAAACUGGAGGAAGGUGGGGAUGACGUCAAGUCAUCAUGGCCCUUACGAGUAGGGCUACACACGUGCUACAAUGGCGCAUACAAAGAGAAGCGACCUCGCGAGAGCAAGCGGACCUCAUAAAGUGCGUCGUAGUCCGGAUUGGAGUCUGCAACUCGACUCCAUGAAGUCGGAAUCGCUAGUAAUCGUAGAUCAGAAUGCUACGGUGAAUACGUUCCCGGGCCUUGUACACACCGCCCGUCACACCAUGGGAGUGGGUUGCAAAAGAAGUAGGUAGCUUAACCUUCGGGAGGGCG